CUCCUGAGCGGUGGGUGGGGGCCCUAAACAAGAAUAAGGGGGGGGCCAGGGGGGAGGACAUUAGGUCCCCCCCCUUAUUCUUGUUUAGGGCCCUCACCCACCGCUCAGGGGUGGGGGCCCUAA